rnacentral:rRNA from 1 species
UGCGAACUCCUACGGGAGGCAGCAGUGAGGAAUAUUGGUCAAUGGGCGAGAGCCUGAACCAGCCAAGUCGCGUGAAGGAUGACUGUCUUAUGGAUUGUAAACUUCUUUUAUACGGGAAUAACAAGAGUCACGUGUGACUCCCUGCAUGUACCGUAUGAAUAAGCAUCGGCUAACUCCGUGCCAGCAGCCGCGGUAAUACGGAGGAUGCGAGCGUUAUCCGGAUUUAUUGGGUUUAAAGGGUGCGUAGGCGGCCUGUUAAGUCAGCGGUGAAAUCUAGGAGCUUAACUCCUAAAUUGCCAUUGAUACUGGCGGGCUUGAGUGUAGAUGAGGUAGGCGGAAUGCGUGGUGUAGCGGUGGAAUGCAUAGAUAUCACGCAGAACUCCGAUUGCGAAGGCAGCUUACUAAGGUACAACUGACGCUGAAGCACGAAAGCGUGGGUAUCAAACAGGAUUAGAUACCCUUGUAGUCCU